ACACCAGUGCCUGCCUCGUGUCCCCUCCUGCUCCUUUGCAGCCACAGGCACAGCCAGCCACCAGGAUAAUUAAUGGGUGGGCCUUGAAAGUUUAUCCCCUGCUCUCCCUGCCUUUUCCUUCACGUUUUCCACGGUCUGCGUGCAUCAGCUCUGGCACAGAGGUUCUAUGUGAGCUCUCCAGCAUAGCAGAGGUUUGUGUUUGUUGGUGAUCAGUGACAGUGCCUCGUUAAGGAGGUUUGCAAACCUGGUGUCCUGCAGGUGCAGGCUGCCUCUCACCUCUACCCAGCCAGCCCGUGGAAACAAAUCAUCCAACAACGUGCCUACGUGUCCUGGCACGUGUCCUGUGCCCAAGAGCCAGGGAUCCUAGGAGUGCAUCCCAUCCCAGAGCUCCCCACUCCUUUGUAAGUGCAGGUGCAGAAAAACUCUGCUGCUUUGAUGGAAGGAAAUUGGCUGGAAAGGCUCCAUGCUCCAGGGCUAGCUCCACUGGCACGCUUCAUGCAGAGGGGGUUUGCCUGAACUUUUUGAUUCAAUAAUAUUUUAUCUCUGCCAUGUAAGAUGUUGUUGAGAAGACAGAAGUCUCCAGAGCAUCAUUUGUUGAUCAGGCCAUAAAAAACUACUGGUGUAAAUGAAAAGCACAGGACAAGAAAACCACUGCUGCUGCACGAGGAAUCUACUGCAUGAGAAAAAAAUAUAUUCUCCUCAUCUGGGAAAGUAAAAUCUACACCUCAAGA